rnacentral:lncRNA from 1 species
CCCCCCACCCCCCAACACACACACACACACACACACACACACACACACACACACACACACUCACACACACACACACACACACACACACACACACACACACACACACACACACACACACGUAGUGUCCGGGUGAUAUGCCUGCAGUAUCAACACUGUGUGCCUGAUGCCAGUGGAGGGCAUCAGAUCCCCUGGAACUAGAGAUACAGAUGGUUUGAACAGACUUGUGUGUGCUGAAGUCCCCUGGAAGAGCAGCCAUUCCUCUUAACUGCUGAGCCAUCUCUCCUGCCGGCAUGUGUCUGUUUCCUAAACAUCUCCCUGACUUCACCAUUGCAUCUGGCACCCUGUCCUUGUUCUGUGCCUCCUGGGUACCAUAGAUUGGUGAGGACAACUGUGUCUUCAAUGGCACAGACCCUGGCCUGGAGGCACGAAACACAGGGCUGCUGUUUACAACCAGGGCUAUUUAUAGAGGAUUCAUGGCAAAAGAGCUAUGUGAUUGAAUAAACGUGGAAAAUUCAGGUUUAAGCAGAUUAAACGGUGCUGUUUAUGGUGAAGCUGUUCAGGUCCUUAAGUUGUUAGAGUGACCGUCCUGGAAGCUGGGACAUACCAGCUGCAUGGCCCACACUAUGACCACAAAAUCACUCUUUUUCGGAACACUUUAGUAGAGUUGGUAAGGGAUAAUUUUAGACAUAUUUAAAUGAUUUAUCCUUGAAUAUGUAAUGUAUGCCUGAGAUUCAAUGAUUCUUAGUACCAGAUUUGGUAGGUUACUGGUCUUAGGCAGUGGUUAGAGAGACCAGUAAGCCUCUGUGUUUUACUACAGCCAGUGGAGAGCCUUGCGGUUCUGGAGUGGCAAACAUCUUUAGGGGGCAGGGUGGGAGACAGGGCUCAGUGGGAAAAGUGCUUGCUACACAAGUAUGAGUUCAGAUCCCCAGGACCCAUGUAAAAAGCCAUACGUGAAGCAGGGUCCCACUUUAAUCUCAGCACUUGGGAGGCAGAGACAGGUGAACCUCUGAGUCUGAGGCCAGCCUGGUUUAUAGAGUAAGUUACAGGAUAGCCAGGGAUAUGCAGAGAAACUCUAUCUUGGUGGUUGGGGGGUGGGGGUGCGGGGUUGGGAGACAUACAUGGUCACAAGUAUCUAUAAUGUAUCUUUAAUUCAUGGGGGGGAUACAAACCUCUGGCUUUCACACAUGUACACAUACACAUGAACAUGUACAUAUGCAUACAGUACAGUACAGUACACACACACACACACACACACACACACACACACAGAGAGAGAGAGAGAGAGAGAGAGAGAGAGAGAGAGAGAGAGAGAGAGAGAAACAGACAGAGACUAGCUUCUUGAGGCUGUGACCCUCAGAGCUGCUUGUUUGCAGGAAGAAAAGUCUGGGUCAAUCCUCUAGGAGAGGAGGCACCCCAGAAGCCCCAGUUCAUUCUCACUUCUCAGUGGAACAGACUUUCCCUGGGGUGGGUGGAGUGUGCAAUGAAGGAGAAAUGAAUGGGUUUAUUAGCUAUCUGCUCUUGCAUAGCAAAUAACUCCCUAAGCUUAGCAGCUUAAAACAACAAUGUCCACGCUCUCACCUGGUUCUUGAGAAUCUGGAAUCUUGGCAGUGCUGAGCUGGUGGGCUGGCUCAGCAUCUCUCCCACACAGAUGGAGUCAAGUUCUCAGUGAGGCACCAGGCAUCUGGAGGUUGACAUGUGCCUGAGGGGCUGCCUCCAAGUUUACCCUGUGGGUCUGGGCUGCUCUCAGAUGCCACAAGCACAUCUACAUGGGACAGCAGAGUGUCUUCAUGACAUGGCAACCCGUGGCCUCCACAGCGAAUGAUCCAAAAAACAAACAAGGGGAGACUACACCACCCCUGCUUGAGCCAGUUUUACAAACUAUCACAUAGGCGGUUUUGCUACAUUCUUUUGGUUUUGAGUUGUUUUACAUUGUAGUAUUUAUGAAGGAUAGUCAGCUCUUCAUACUAGUGGGUUCCACCUCUGUGGUGGGUCACCUUCAUUGUCAACUCGCCAGGAUGUGAUCCUAUAAGAGCUUUCCAAGAAGUAUAACGGGGGGGGGGGGGGAGACCCAUCCGGAACGUGGGCAGCUCCACCCUAUAAGCUGAGCUUCCAGUCUGCAUCAAAAGGGAAAGUCAGCUGAGCCUCAGAUUCAUCUGCCUCUGCUUCCUGACUGUGGACAAAGCAUAACCAGCCACUUCACACCCCUGCUUGCAUUUCUACCAUGAUGGACUGCAUCUCAAAGGGUUCCCAGGAACAUCUUGACCGAGUUCCCCGCUUCCACGACACCACGGUGGCAGGUGCCGAACAUCUCCUGGUCACCUGUGAUGUAUCAAAUCCACAAAUAUCUCUGGAGAAACACCUCUGAAGGGCCAACAGGGAUAGUAGCAAGCAGCGGAAACUGUCCCUGAAGCCAAAUGGAGCCUUCCCUUGGUCACCGUGGCUUUUUGGAUCACCACAUUUUCCUAGUUUUUCUACAAAUCAAUUUUCUUCAAGGAGAAGCGUUUGAAUUUUUAGCUGGUACAAACAAACAAACAAACAAACAAACCAACCAACCAACCACCACCAGCCACUGCAGAGGCUACGGAAGCUCACUCAGUCUAAGGUAGCCAGCUUGUGCCUCCGGCGGCCCGGGAAGGUCACUAUGGGAUAGGAAAAGAGUUCACAAAAGUACCGCCUUGCUGCCCUGAGGUAGUAGGGGAGGGAUGAGGAAGAGAGGUCUUCAUAGAAGAGGAGGCCAGGGGUUGGAGAGAUGGCUCAGUGGUUAAGAGCACUGACUGCUCUUCCAAAGGUCUUGAGUUCAAAUCCCAGCCCAGCAACCACAUCGUGGCUUACAACCAUCUGUAAUGAGAUCUGAUGCCCUCUUCUGGUGUGUCUGAAGACAGCUG